rnacentral:rRNA from 1 species
CCUACGGGAGGCAGCAGUGAGGAAUAUUGGUCAAUGGACGAGAGUCUGAACCAGCCAAGUAGCGUGAAGGAUGACUGCCCUAUGGGUUGUAAACUUCUUUUAUAAAUGAAUAAAACGAGGCACGUGUGCCUUUUUGCAUGUACUUUAUGAAUAAGGAUCGGCUAACUCCGUGCCAGCAGCCGCGGUAAUACGGAGGAUCCGAGCGUUAUCCGGAUUUAUUGGGUUUAAAGGGAGCGUAGAUGGGUUGUUAAGUCAGUUGUGAAAGUUUGCGGCUCAACCGUAAAAUUGCAAUUGAUACUGGCAGUCUUGAGUACAGUUGAGGUAGGCGGAAUUCGUGGUGUAGCAGUGAAAUGCUUAGAUAUCACGAAGAACCCCGAUUGCGAAGGCAGCUUACUAAACUGUGACUGACAUUGAUGCUCGAAAGUGUGGGUAUCAAACAGGAUUAGAUACCCGGGUAGUC